rnacentral:rRNA from 1 species
UGGGGAAUAUUGGACAAUGGAGGGAACUCUGAUCCAGCAAUUCUGUGUGUGUGAAGAAGGUUUUAGGACUGUAAAACACUUUUAGUAGGGAAGAAAAAAAUGACGGUACCUACAGAAGAAGCAACGGCUAAAUACGUGCCAGCAGCCGCGGUAAUACGUAUGUUGCGAGCGUUAUCCGGAAUUAUUGGGCUUAAAGGGCAUCUAGGCGGUAAGACAAGUUGAAGGUGAAAACCUGUGGCUCAACCAUAGGCUUGCCUACAAAACUGUUGAACUAGAGUACUGGAAAGGUGGGUGGAACUACACGAGUAGAGGUGAAAUUCGUAGAUAUGUGUAGGAAUGCCGAUGAUGAAGAUAACUCACUGGACAGAAACUGACGCUGAAGUGCAAAAGCUAGGGGAGCAAACAGG